UUACGGUCAUCUCACGUUGAAACACCAGUUCUCGUACGAUUAUCGAAGUUAAGCAACGUCGAGCCUGAUCAGUACCUAGAUUGAUGAUUGCUUAGAAAUACCACGUGUUGUAA